CGGUCUGAACUCAGAUCACGUAAGAAAUUAAAAGUCGAACAGACUUAAUAAUUAAGCUACUGCACCUAAUAUUAUAUCUUAAUCCAACAUCGAGGUCGCAAUCUUUAUUAUCAAUAAGAACUUUCCAAAAAAAUUACGCUGUUAUCCCUAAAGUAACUUAAUUUAAUAAUCCAUAAUAAAGGAUCAAAAACUCAUAAAUCAAUGUAAUUAAAAUUAAAAGUUAUUUAAAUUUUAAUAUCUCCCCAAUAAAAUAUAAAUUUUAAUUAUAAUAUAAUAUAUCUAAAUUAUUAAAACUAAAUUCUAUAUAAAGAUUUAUAGGGUCUUCUCGUCUUUCAAAUCAAUUUUAGCUUUUUAACUAAAAAAUAAAAUUCUAUUAUAAAUUUAAUUGAAACAGUUAAUAUUUUAUCCAACCAUUCAUUCCAGCCUUCAAUUAAAAGACUAAUUAUUAUGCUACCUUUGCACAGUUAAUAUACUGCGGCCAUUCAAAAAUUCAGUGGGCAGGCUAGACUUUAAACUUAUUUCUAAAAGACAUGUUUUUGUAAA
rnacentral:rRNA from 1 species